UACGAAGGGGGCUAGCGUUGUUCGGAAUUACUGGGCGUAAAGCGCGCGCAGGCGGUCUUCCAAGUCAGUGGUGAAAGCCCGGAGCUCAACUCCGGAAUUGCCAUUGAAACUGUUGGACUCGAGGAUGAGAGAGGUGAGUGGAAUUCCCAGUGUAGAGGUGAAAUUCGUAGAUAUUGGGAAGAACACCGGUGGCGAGGGCGGCUCACUGGCUCAUUACUGACGCUCAGGCGCGAUAGCGUGGGGAUCAAACAGG
rnacentral:rRNA from 1 species